rnacentral:tRNA from 1 species
GCGAGCGUGGUGGAACUGGUAGACACGCAGGAUUUAGGUUCCUGUAGAGCAAUCUGUGGGGGUUCGAGUCCCCCCGCUCGCA